GACGAACGCUGGCGGCGUGCUUAACACAUGCAAGUCGAACGAAGAGCGAUGGAAGCUUGCUUCUAUCAAUCUUAGUGGCGAACGGGUGAGUAACGCGUAAUCAACCUGCCCUUCAGAGGGGGACAACAGUUGGAAGCGACUGCUAAUACCGCAUACGAUCUAAUCUCGGCAUCGAGGAUAGAUGAAAGGUGGCCUCUACAUGUAAGCUAUCACUGAAGGAGGGGAUUGCGUCUGAUUAGCUAGUUGGAGGGGUAACGGCCCACCAAGGCGAUGAUCAGUAGCCGGUCUGAGAGGAUGAACGGCCACAUUGGGACUGAGACACGGCCCAGACUCCUACGGGAGGCAGCAGUGGGGAAUCUUCCGCAAUGGACGAAAGUCUGACGGAGCAACGCCGCGUGAGUGAUGACGGCCUUCGGGUUGUAAAGCUCUGUUAAUCGGGACGAAAGGCCUUCUUGCGAAUAGUGAGAAGGAUUGACGGUACCGGAAUAGAAAGCCACGGCUAACUACGUG
rnacentral:rRNA from 1 species